AGCGCGCGACCCGACCUUGUAGUAGUCAAGCGAUGGAGUGACGCAGGAAGGUAGCCUCCGCGUGGCGAUGGUUGUCCACGUCCAAGGGUGUAGGGCGAGCUGUAGGCAAAUCCGCAGCUCACAUAGCCUGAGACCUGAUAGUGACCGCGAAUGCGGGAAGCAGGGUGAUCCUAUGCUGCCAAGAAAAUCUUCUAGCGAGGUUCGAGCCGCCCGUACCCCAAACCGACUCAGGUGGUUAGGUAGAGAAUACCAAGGCGAUCGAGUGAAUCGUGGUUAAGGAAUUCGGCAAAAUGCCCCCGUAACUUCGGGAGAAGGGGGCCCGGAACCUGAAGUGACGAGCUCACUAGGGUGAAGGGCCGCAGAGACCAGGGAGAAGCGACUGUUUACUAAAAACACAGGUCCGUGCGAAGUCGCAAGACGAUGUAUACGGACUGACGCCUGCCCGGUGCUGGAAGGUUAAGAGGACCGGUUAGACCGCAAGGUCGAAGCUGAGAAUUUAAGCCCCAGUAAACGGCGGUGGUAACUAUAACCAUCCUAAGGUAGC
rnacentral:rRNA from 1 species